rnacentral:rRNA from 1 species
GAUGAACGCUGGCGGCGUGCCUAAUACAUGCAAGUCGAGCGAACAGAUGAGGAGCUUGCUCCUCUGACGUUAGCGGCGGACGGGUGAGUAACACGUGGAUAACCUACCUAUAAGACUGGGAUAACUUCGGGAAACCGGAGCUAAUACCGGAUAAUAUAUUGAACCGCAUGGUUCAAUAGUGAAAGACGGUUUUGCUGUCACUUAUAGAUGGAUCCGCGCCGCAUUAGCUAGUUGGUAAGGUAACGGCUUACCAAGGCGACGAUGCGUAGCCGACCUGAGAGGGGGAUCGGCCACCCUGGAACUGAGACACGGACCAGACGCCUACGGGAGGCAGCAGUAGGGAAUCUUCCGCAAUGGGCGAAAGCCUGACGGAGCAACGCCGCGUGAGUGAUGAAGGUCUUCGGAUCGUAAAACUCUGUUAUGAGUGAAGAACAAAUGUGUAAGUAACUAUGCACGUCUUGACGGUACCGAAUCAGAAAGCCACGGCUAACUACGUG